rnacentral:rRNA from 1 species
AGAGUUUGAUCCUGGCUCAGGACGAACGCUGGCGGCGUGCUUAACACAUGCAAGUGGAGCGACGAACCAGGGCUUGCCCUGGGGCAGAGCCGCGAACGGGUGAGUAACACGUGGGUAACCUACCCCGAUGACCGGGACAACCCGAGGAAACUCGGGCUAAUACCGGAUGUUCUCGUAUCUCUUAAGGGUUACGAGCAAAGAUAGCUUCGGCCUUCGCAUCGGGACGGGCCCGCGGCCCAUUAGCUUGUUGGUGGGGUAAUGGCCUACCAAGGCUGCGAUGGGUAGCUGGUCUGAGAGGAUGAUCAGCCACACUGGGACUGAGAUACGGCCCAGACUCCUAUGGGAGGCAGCAGUGGGGAAUCUUGCGCAAUGCGCGAAAGCGUGACGCAGCAACGCCGCGUGGGGGAAGAAGGCCUUCGGGUUGUAAACCCCUUUCAGUUGGGACGAAGCUUCGAGGGUUAAUAGCUCUCUGGAGUGACGGUACCUUCAGAAGAAGCCCCGGCUAACUACGUGCCAGUAGUUGCGGUAAUACGUAGGGGGCUAGCGUUGUCCGGAAUCAUUGGGCGUAAAGCGCGUGUAGGCGGUCCGGUAAGUCCGCUGUGAAAGUCGGGGGUUCAACCCUCGGAUGCCGGUGGAUACUGUCGGGCUUGAGUACGGAAGAGGCGAGUGGAAUUCCUGGUGUAGCGGUGAAAUGCGCAGAUAUCAGGAGGAAUACCAAUUGCGAAGGCAGCUCGCUGGGACGUUACUGACGCUGAGACGCGAGAGCGUGGGGAGUAAACAGGAUUAGAUACCCUGGUAGUCCACGCUGUAAACGAUGGGCACUAGGUGUGGGGGGUGUUGACUCCCUCCGUGCCGAAGUUAAUGUAUUAAGUGCCCCGCCUGGGGAGUACGGCCGCAAGGCUAAAACUCAAAGGAAUUGACGG